UCUGAUUCCUCUACAGUCUGAAGAGGAAGAGGUGAAGAAUUGAUCAAAAAGGUGGCCAAAGCCAAUUCAUUUCUUUGGCGACUCAGAUGAUGAAAGUGAGGAGGAAGGCCAUCAUAACAAGAGACCCAGGGGUCCAACCAAAAUCAUAAACGAACCACCUGUUCCUGUCAUCCCAGCGCUACCUUUUAUGCCAAAUAGUAAUAGAGCUGUUCUUCCUCCAACCACUUCACCAGCAGAAGAACAAAUCCCUUCUACAAGCCAGGUCUACAGACCUACCUGGCGUGAGGGAAGAUAUGGUUCAGAAAACAUAUCCUGCUCUGAUUUGUUAAAAUGUCCUCUGAGUAUCAAAGGAAGUGGAGACGACGAAGAUCAAGAGUUGAUGCCUUGGCUGAAGAUAGCAGCUCUGAGUCCGAUGGGUCAGCGGAGCCAGUCUUGGCAGGGGAGAGCAUUGCUGUUGCCAAGGAUUCAACAAAUGAUGAUUUACAACUUAUGGAGGGUUGCAGUUCUUCUUUUAGCACAGCAGCAAUGGCUGUUGGCAGUGAAGAAGAAUGCACUACCGAAGAUCACUAUUGCUGCACUGAUUCUACUGAAACUGAGUCUGAUCAUCUGGAUGAGACCCUUCAUUCUUCACUAGAAACAGCAUCUCUCCACAAGGACUUGGCAAGAUGGGCUACAUCCACAAACCAGACACACAAAGCAGUUAACGAACUUCUUCAUGUACUCAGACGUCAUGGUCACAGACUUCCCAAAGACGCUAGAAGUCUUCUUGAAACACCACAAGGAGUGCCAGUUCAAAAUAAAUGUAAAGGACAGUACAUUUAUUAUGGUAUUGAGCGUUACCUACUUGAACACUUCUCAAAUGAGACACA